rnacentral:rRNA from 1 species
AAGCAGUGGGAGCCUCUUUAUGGGGUGACUGCGUACCUUUUGUAUAAUGGGUCAGCGACUUAUAUUCUGUAGCAAGGUUAACCGAAUAGGGGAGCCGAAGGGAAACCGAGUCUUAACUGGGCGUUAAGUUGCAGGGUAUAGACCCGAAACCCGGUGAUCUAGCCAUGGGCAGGUUGAAGGUUGGGUAACACUAACUGGAGGACCGAACCGACUAAUGUUGAAAAAUUAGCGGAUGACUUGUGGCUGGGGGUGAAAGGCCAAUCAAACCGGGAGAUAGCUGGUUCUCCCCGAAAGCUAUUUAGGUAGCGCCUCGUGAACUCAUCUCCGGGGGUAGAGCACUGUUUCGGCAAGGGGGUCAUCCCGACUUACCAACCCGAUGCAAACUGCGAAUACCGGAGAAUGUUAUCACGGGAGACACACGGCGGGUGCUAACGUCCGUCGUGAAGAGGGAAACAACCCAGACCGCCAGCUAAGGUCCCAAAGUCAUGGUUAAGUGGGAAACGAUGUGGGAAGGCCCAGACAGCCAGGAUGUUGGCUUAGAAGCAGCCAUCAUUUAAAGAAAGCGUAAUAGCUCACUGGUCGAGUCGGCCUGCGCGGAAGAUGUAACGGGGCUAAACCAUGCACCGAAGCUGCGGCAGCGACGCUGAUGCGUUGUUGGGUAGGGGAGCGUUCUGUAAGCCUGUGAAGGUGUGCUGUGAGGCAUGCUGGAGGUAUC